AACGAACGCUGGCGGCAGGCCUAACACAUGCAAGUCGAACGAACGUAGCAAUACGUGAGUGGCGCACGGGAGAGUAACACGUGGGAACCUACCUUUUGGUUUGGAAUAACGUCGGGAAACUGACGCUAAUACCGGAUAAGCCCUACGGGGGAAAGAUUUAUCGCCGAAAGAUGGGCCCGCGCUAGAUUAGCUUGUUGGUGAGGUAAUGGCUCACCAAGGCUACGAUCUAUAGCUGGUCUGAGAGGAUGACCAGCCUCACUGGGACUGAGACACGGCCCAGACUCCUACGGGAGGCAGCAGUGGGGAAUAUUGGACAAUGGGGGAAACCCUGGAUCCAGCCAUGCCGCGUGAAUGAUGAAGGCCUUCGGGUUGUAAAGUUCUUUUGGUAGGGACGAUGAUG
rnacentral:rRNA from 1 species